rnacentral:rRNA from 1 species
AGUAACACGUAGAUAAUCUACCUUCAAUACUGGGAUAACUAUUCGAAAGGAUAGCUAAUACCGGAUAAAGUUGAUUGACAAAAGUUAAUUUAUGAAAGAUUGCCUCUUCUUGAAAGCAAUUGAUUGGAGAUGAGUUUGCGGACCAUUAGUUAGUUGGUGGGGUAAAGGCCUACCAAGACUACGAUGGUUAGCUGGUCUGAGAGGAUGAUCAGCCACACUGGAACUGGUACACGGUCCAGACUCC